UACGUAGGGGGCGAGCGUUGUCCGGAUUUAUUGGGCGUAAAGAGCGUGUAGGCGGCUUGGUAGGUCUGCUGUGAAAACUCGGGGCUCAACCCCGAGACGUCGGUGGAAACCACCUGGCUAGAGUCCGGAAGAGGAGAGUGGAAUUCCCGGUGUAGCGGUGAAAUGCGCAGAUAUCGGGAAGAACACCCGUGGCGAAGGCGGCUCUCUGGGACGGUACUGACGCUGAGACGCGAAAGCGUGGGGAGCGAACAGG
rnacentral:rRNA from 1 species